AGCGUUUGAACUUGAAUUCCUUUAUGAUGAUUGUUUAUGUUUUUUCUGAGUCCAAAUUUUCUUCAUGUGUUCUCUGUGUUGUUUCUUUCGCUCCGCUGUCCAUUUGCAUCCUGGUCUCUUCUGUGUUGUGGUGUCAAAUUUAUGUUUUUUGAUGAUGUUCCUGAAUUCAGUUCUAUUUUCUGCAUCGUUUACUGUUAUGUGUGCUUGUCUGAGGUCCUCUUCAAUUUCUUUUAUCCAUUUUGUUUUUCCCCUGCUUGAGUUGAAGACUUUAAGAAUUCGCUUUGAAAUUCUGUUUUCAUUCAUCCUGUGGAUAUGUCCAUAGACCUGCAUUCUUCUUUUCCUUGUUGUAUCCGUAAUCUUCUCUGUGUAUUUAUAUAAUUCUGAUGUUGGUCUCUUCUUCCAGUUUCCUUGCUCUUGUAUCGGGCCAAAAAUUUUCCUGAGAAUUUUCCUUUCUUGUUUCUCUAUUUCUUUGAUUUUAGUUUGCCCACCUAUUUGUGUUGUUUCAGAUGCAUACAGUGCCUCCGGAAGUACGACAGUGUUGUAGUGCCUCAAUUUUGCGUUAAUGGAUAUGGACUUUUUGUUAUAAUAGUUCCACGUGAGUUUAUAUGCUUUCUGUAGUUUUUUUUACUCUUUCCUCAUUGGCCUUUAGGUUGAUCCCUGAUGGCUGGAUGAUUUCUCACAGAAACUUGAAAUGUGGUAAUUGUACGAUUUUCCCAUGGGUUGUCACAAUAGGCAAUUUGUCUUGUGGCACUCUUUCUACGUAUUGGGUUUUCUCAUAUGAGAUUUGCAGGCCAGUUCUUUGUGCAAUUUCGUGUAACUUCUCUAUGACGUUAGUGGCUUCGUUUCUAUUAUUUGUGAGGAUUGCAAGGUCAUCUGCAAAAGCUAAACACUUCACAUUGAAUCUAUUAUCUUUUCUAAUGCCAAUUUGGAUUCCUUAGACUUCUUUUUCCCAUGUCCUGAUAAUUUUUUCAAGAAUGAUAUUAAAGAGUAAUGGUGAAUUUUUCUUCCUCAUCGUAGUAUACAUAAUUUCUUUCUAAACACUUUUCUUAUAUACAUAAUAUGUUGCAUAUGCUUUACUAGUGUAGACGAUUUUUAGGGACAAAAGUCAGUAACUGUAACUUUUUCUUCCCCUAAGAAUUUUGUAUUAAUAUCAAGUAAAUAUCGGCUUAUUGGUUCAGUAUUUUCCCAACGGAUAAUUGACCAGCUUGAUGCUGAGAAGCAGCAACAGCAUUACUAUUUCCUGGCAGAAGAAGAGGAACAGAGAGGGGUGAUAUAAGUGAGAUGGACAGAUGACUUUUCCCCAACUCAGGCGAGGACAAAAUGACACAGUGGGUGGAGGAGAUGGAGAAAGACCUUCAUCGGUGCGAGAAGCUGUUGGAUGAUCGGUUGCAUCAGGGGAACAAUUCCCUCAAUACGCCAUAGCGGAGGUACUGAGGACGGCGGAGCUUGUUUUGCCAAAGCGGGGCUGGGUGAUGCAUGCUUCGCCAUGUAAGACGGACCUCAUCGCCAUGCAGGAAACUGCGGCCGCCACCACCACUGCCCCACUCUUGCCGCCCCAGCACCGCUCUGACAUCCAUGGGUCACUUUUCUUCCAGCAAGUGGUUCAGGGCUGCAGCAACAGCCGCAGCCAGGAUGCUCACACUGGUCUGAUACCGCAGCAUCUCCUUUUUCUCUACCUUCUUGUCCUCACCGAUCUCGCAAGGUUGGAAGGCGACACCCAGAGACAGGCUAAUGGUGUGAACCAUAUGAUAUUGAGAUCUCUCUAUCAAAGACUAUUUGCAGUGCCUGACAAUGGUGUUCACAGUGCUUCACCGCAGCCACUGCAUAUGGUAUGGAAAACUAGUAUUCAGUCGAGACGACAUGAGGUGUACACUGUGCUGCAGUCUAAAAUCGGCCUGUCACCGCAUUGUGUGUGUGUGUGUGUGUGUGUGUGAGAGAGAGAGAGAGAGAGAGAGAGAGAGAGAGUUUGUGUGUGUGUGUGUGUGUGUGUGUGUGUGUGUGUGUGUGUGUGUGUGCUGUGAGAAAAGUUAAAAAAGUAAAAUGUAUUGAGAAAUGUAUAAAAGCAUAAGCAAAUAUAUAUCAUCUAAAUAAUUAUUUAUUCAUAGACAGCAUGGGUGUACUAUGUCUUUAAAUAUGUCUGCUUGUGUCUGUAUAUGUGUGGAUGGAUAUGUAUGUGUGUGCGAGUGUAUACCCGUCCUUUUUUCCCCCUAAGGUAAGUCUUUCUGCUCCCGGGAUUGGAAUGACGCCUUACCCUCUCCCUUAAAACCCACUUCCUUUCGUCUUUCCCUCUCCUUCCCUCUUUCCUGAUGAGGCAACAGUUUGUUGCGAAAGCUUGAAUUCUGUGUGUAUGUAUGUGUCUGUUUGUGUUUCUAUCGACCUGCCAGCACUUUCGUAUGGUAAGUCACAUCAUCUUUGUUUCUAAAUAUAUUUUUCCCGCGUGGAAUGUUUCCCUCUAUUACAUAUCAAUGUACAAUGUGUGCCAUGUAAAUAAGAUAGUUUUUAAAGUUUCACAUGGCACUAGCUGUCAAAGACUAAUUAGUUUUUAAGUGUAUAUAGCUCACAGUCCAUCAGAAUUAUUGUAAAGCGUAUGCUGUUGGGAGUAUGAAAUUAUACUGUAGUAAAAAAGUAUCUCUGCAUUAGUUUUUAGCGAGGAUUUAUAAAACAAUUGUAAAAUAUUCCCAUUUAAUGCUACUGGAAAAAAUGUAAAAAUAUUCUCAGUCAGUUUUACUGUUGAGAGGAUCAUUUUUUCCUUGCUUUAGUAAUAGCAUAUAUGUUAAAAGCAUCUAUGAAUUGAAAUAUCAGAGCCGAAUUGUAUGUCAUGAACUGAACUGUACCUUAAGAACUGAUCUGUACCUCAAGAACUAAAUUGUAUCUCAAGAACGGAACUUUAUCUCAAAAAUAA